AUUGAACGCUGGCGGCAUGCUUUACACAUGCAAGUCGAACGGUAACAGGUUAAGCUGACGAGUGGCGAACGGGUGAGUAAUGCAUCGGAACGUGCCCGAUCGUGGGGGAUAACGCAGCGAAAGCUGCGCUAAUACCGCAUACGAUCUGAGGAUGAAAGCGGGGGACCGCAAGGCCUCGCGCGAUCGGAGCGGCCGGUGUCAGAUUAGGUAGUUGGUGGGGUAAAGGCUCACCAAGCCAACGAUCUGUAGCUGGUCUGAGAGGACGACCAGCCACACUGGGACUGAGACGCGGCCCAGACUCCUACGGGAGGCAGCAGUGGGGAAUUUUGGACAAUGGGCGAAAGCCUGAUCCAGCCAUGCCGCGUGCAGGAUGAAGGCCUUCGGGUUGUAAACUGCUUUUGUACGGAACGAAAAGGUUUGGCCUAAUAAGCUGAGCUCAUGACGGUACCGUAAGAAUAAGCACCGGCUAACUACGUGCUAGCCGCCGCAGUAA
rnacentral:rRNA from 1 species